AUUGAACGCUGGCGGCAGGCUUAACACAUGCAAGUCGAACGAGUGGCGGACGGGUGAGUAAUGCCUGGGAAUCUACCUUAUGGAGGGGGAUAACUACGGGAAACUGUAGCUAAUACCGCGUACCAUAGGAUGAGCCCAAGUGGGAUUAGGUAGUUGGUGAGGUAAAGGCUCACCAAGCCGACGAUCCCUAGCUGGUCUGAGAGGAUGACAGGCAACAUGGGGACUAGGAAACGGCCCGGACACCUACGGGGGGAGGCAGGGGGGAAUAUGGCGCAAGGGGGGAAACCUGACGCAGCCAUGCCGGGGGAAUGAAGAGGGCCGUGGGGUUGAAAAGUUCUUUCGGUAGGGAGGCGUUAACUACAGAGAAAGCACCGGCAAACUCCGUGCAAGCAGCGGCGGUAUUA
rnacentral:rRNA from 1 species